rnacentral:misc_RNA from 1 species
AUUUUACAGAAUUGCAGAUAAAGCAAGUAGUGGGACAGGCACUAUAGGGACAAGCGUAAUCCCAAACUAUAGGCAUGAAAUGAAGCGUUCCUUAUAGCGUUAUAAUUACAUCCUGAGGUCCACUUGAAAAGGCAUCUAACAGAGCUGCAGUGAUUAUUUUCUUUAACCAAACUAUCAAUUCGGACAAAACCAACAGUGUUUGGCAUUAUGUUCAUAACCAACAAACCAGACUGGUUCCAAUUUGAUUUAGUUCAAUUUG